GCUUUGUUAAACAAGUGCUUGAAGGCAGUAUGCUUGGUAAAAGUCAUCGCCAUUCUCUAAUCUUGAGUACCCAGGGACACGAUACACUGCGGAAGGCUGCAGGGACCUCUGCCCAGGAAAGCCAGGAGCCAGAAAAACUUCAUCUCUUUUACAAGAAACAUUGAGAUUCCUGUAAAAUUAAGAAAUCACACAAUUUGAUGGUCUACAUUAUCUAAAGCAAAUGAGACUUCUAUUUGGAACAAAGACUACCUUGUUGGGAAAUGAGUCUGCAAGUUAAAGUGUUUUCUGUUUUCUAAGGAUAAUGGUCUCCAGCUUCGUCAAUGUUCCUGCAAAGGACAUGAUGCUGACUUUGAAGAUGCAAGCUUCCACAUCUACAGCCUCAAGGAAACAAAUUCAGCCAACCAACUGAGGGAGCUUUCCUUGUCCUGCCUCAAGAUGAGAUCACAGUCUGCCCAACACCAUGAUUUAGGCCUUGUGACACCUGGUAUGGAAGACCCAGUUAAGUUCUCUCCAAACUCUUGACCCACAGAACCUGUGAGAAAAUAUAUGGAUAUUAUUUUAAACUGCUAAAUUUGUAGUAAUUUGUUAUGCAGCAAUAAAAAAAACUAAUGCAAGGAGAUAUCAAUUAUUGUAAAAAGCUUAGCUUUUGUUUUAAAAUAUAGUUCACCAGUAGUAAGUUACUAAUAAGUAACUAAACAAAUAAAAGCAAGCCAUUUACAAAUCAAUAAUAAGAGUAAGUCAUGAACUAAAGAUUGUAAUUAAUCAAUUUCUGUACGCCUGUAAUGAAAAUAAAGGAGGAAAAGAAAAUGAAAGAAAA
rnacentral:lncRNA from 1 species